GAUGAACGCUGGCGGCGUGCCUAAUACAUGCAAGUCGAGCGAACAGACGAGGAGCUUGCUCCUUUGACGUUAGCGGCGGACGGGUGAGUAACACGUAGGUAACCUACCUAUAAGACUGGGAUAACUUCGGGAAACCGGAGCUAAUACCGGAUAAUAUUUCGAACCGCAUGGUUCGAUAGUGAAAGAUGGCUUUGCUAUCACUUAUAGAUGGACCUGCGCCGUAUUAGCUAGUUGGUAAGGUAACGGCUUACCAAGGCAACGAUACGUAGCCGACCUGAGAGGGUGAGGGGCCACAGGGGAACGGGACACGGGACGAGACCCCGAGGGGAGGCGGAGGGGGGGAUCUUGCCGAAAGGGGGGAAGGCCGGAGGGAGCAACGGCGGGGGAGGGAGAAAGGUCUUCGGACCGAAAACCUGUGUUAUAGGGAAAAAACAAGGGUGUAGGAAGCGGGGCACGUCUGGCCGGUACCUAAUAAGAAAGCCCCGGCUAACGAGGUG
rnacentral:rRNA from 1 species